CAUAAUCAAGAAACAACGUGUCAAAAUAAAGAUUCUUUUUUACAGUAUCAUUAAUGGAUAAUGAUAUCGGAAUCUUUAAAUGGUGCGGCGAAAUGACGUUUUCUAGUUGUGAUACCACAGAUAAUGGUAUCAAAGUUGGCAAACAAUGCAGCUAUAAUAUCACUAAUGAACAUUAGAUUGAAAAAAAGCAUGAUCAAUUAUGCUUAGAACGAAGCUUCACAUAAAAACAAUUUUCAGUUUGUUAAGAUAAAAAUCAGUCUUAGGAAACCGUUCGGUAAAAAUAAAAUAAUAAUAACAGUAAUAAAUAAAGCUCAAUACUCUCAACAAUUCCUAUUUAUAAAUACAUAUGUACUAAGCACUAUCGUAUAAGAAAAGUCUAAGAAUGGAUCGGAAAGAGAAAAGAUUGAUCGAUCAUCGGUCAGUGAGCAAAAAGACCAGCUUUGAUACACAAGGACGGUCAUCGCCACAGACGUUAUUCCUUCGUGACCCAGUUUGUGUUCGCCUCAUGACGCACAUUCCAAUUCACCGACGCUCAGAAACACUUCUUUUUCCUCAUUCAAUUCCCUUUCUUCAUCCUCUACAUUUCCUUCUAUGAGUCCUCGAUAGUUCACUAACAUUUCGCUAGAUGACGUCACUAGUAACUACCAUUUCUGCACAAACUUAAUCAUAGAUUAAUACCAUUUAACGUCUUAACAGAUUCGCCGAUAAUUAUGUGAAAUCUUGAAAUACAAAAUCAUAGAAUUCUGUGAUUAAGACAAAGCUUAUUUUAGUCGUGGAAAAAUGUAGGAAUAUAGCAACAGUCGUUGUAGUAUGUUGAUGAGGAAACGGAAUUCUCUUUUAAUUUGAUUUUUAUCAAGACAUAUGUUUUGAAAAGCAUUCAAAGCAGUUUGUUGCAGAGAUAAAUACAAGGUCGAAGUCCUGGUUGGGAAAACAGAAAUGUAUUGUCAUCUGUUACGUGAACUAAUAAUAACUAUUAUUGUUAAUAUUGCGUAAUCGGAUCUGAUUAUUUUCUGUUGCGGUCGUUACUGAUAGUUUAAUUACAUCAAUAAUUUGAGGGACAAUUAAUUUGGAGGAGGUAAACGAUUUAGACUGUGCUGGUUUGUGGAAAUCUUUUAUUUCGAGAUUAGUAUAAGAGAUUAUGAGGAUAGAAGGGGAUUAGUGAAGGACUAAUUUAUCAAAGAAUUGCUUCAGGUAAAUCGAUCAAAAUAUAACUAUCUUUAUCACACGCCUAACAAAUCCUCCAUUAAAACAUGUGUUACGGAUAUACGAGGUUAUCUUGCAGUUCUUCCAGUUGACUUCGACAUCGCGAAAAUAAAGUGACUUACGAAGAUCUGCAAAUAAACGUGCAAUGUUAUGACGUAAUUGUAAUCGCGAUGGAUUCAUCAUCUUUUCUUUGCUCCCGCUUCACGUCAAUAUCAACAUUGUAUCAUCGAAUUCAGAUUCCGAGCAUCCAUCAUCGAUGUUCACAUAUUGCUCAAGGACGAUUUUGUUAAUCUCCAAGACGUUACAGCAACACGAUUUUCAUGGUCAUUUAUUUUUGCACCCCAUUAGAUCUUAAUUUUCUUGCACAAUUUAGCUAAUAUUACUAAUGAAAUUUUACAAGCCUUAGGUUAAAAGUUACCAAUAUCAAUCAGUUAGUUUGCGUCAUAGCAAUUUAUUUACAAAUUAUUUACAAAACCUACAAUCUACAAUUCGUAACUCGUCAAUUCACUAAUAUUACUAAUUAUAAAUUAUCAUAAAGAGUCAUAUACAAAAUGUUGACAUAACGGAAUAAAAUGGAGAACUCCAGAAAUCUAAGAAAAUAGGAAUGUACUAAGUAGGUUGAAAAUUUUAUCAUUUAAAAAUAUUUUACUAAAUUUAAUUCUAUGAAUGGAACUUUGUAAACAUGGAAAUAGAAAGAGAACCUAACAAAAAAAUGACUUAUAUAAAGAAAUAGUUAUAUGGAAAUAUAUUUGUAUAUGUUAUACAACAUGAGAUGUUAUAC